ensembl:snRNA U6 U6 spliceosomal RNA
GUGCUCACUUCAGCACCACAUAUACUAAAAUUGGAACAAUACAGAGAAUAUUAGCAUGGCCCCUGCGCAAGGAUAAUUCGUGAAGUGUUCCAUAUUUUU